ACAAGGCCAAGAAGUGAGCCUGCAUGCCCUGCUGCCUGGUUACCCACUGAUUCUUGCAUCACCUUGGACACUGGAAGCCCAUCUCUUGCUGACAGUCACCCCAGAAUGGCUCCUCAGUCCCCAUGUCUGUGGUUUGCAGCAGGUGCUUGGAGAAGAGCUCAGCAGCCACUGUAAUGGCAAAGCUGAAGGAAGCUCAGGAGAUAGCAGAGCCCGACUGAGUGCACGGUACCCAGAUCAGUACACACAGAAGAUCCCCCCAGGUAACAGCUACCUAGGAAGCAGCUGAGAAGACAUCAAGAGAGAAGCUCUACAGCAAAACUCUGCAACUAAAAAGCAAUGCCAGUGUGGAUGGGAGGUUCUGCAAGCUGGUGGUGUCAUAAUUUAGGACAUGAUACUGCCUAUUAAAGUAGCGGAAAUAAAUAAAAUUAUAUUUGCUCCAUCUACAGGCUUACCAAUGUAAUGUCACAGAAGGCCACAACAGUUGUAGAGACUUGCACCUCUCUUCUCACAACAUACCAAACAAUGAGAUAGAACGGACCCAAAACAACGCAACCAGCAACAGACUGGCUCUGGCUCUCCUCCCAGCACCAUCAGCUCUGUUAAAGAGUCAUCUGUGCAGCCCCCCAUUCCUAAAGCUGUACAGACGCAGAGAACAUCAUUGGCCCAACCAACUGACCUCCAAGUCCAGGCCUUAGGCGGUUAUCAUAGCCAUCCAACAGCCUGUCCAGGAUGCGUGUGAAAAUGGUGAUGUUGUCUUUGCUGUCAUCAACGACGUCUGACACAUGCUUCUGAGAAAGCCUGGUGUGUUUGGGGAAAAGAGGAGACAGGAAAAAAACCACAAUCAGAAUAGAAAUACUCUUUGUACACUCUAAGUACCUAUGGAAAUGAAAGGACACUUAUCCAUGUCCCAGCCUGACUAGAAGUACCCUGCACUGGUGUCCCUCUCCUGCCCCUAAGAAAGGCAGUAGGAGGAACAGAGGUUUUGGGAAUCUCAGGGUUAUUCGAGUGCUGGUUUCUCCUUGCAGGAGGCAUGCAGCAAGCGCUGCCAGUUAUUUACUAUAUCAACCCAUUUCCAAGUGCUCUUCCCUUGGGAAAAGGAAAGAAGGGCAGAAAAAUGGGAAAUCAGUAAAGCAGGCUGGGAGGCUGAGUCUGCCAUUAAAACCCUAUGUGAGCCAUUUCUGCAGUUUGUUGAACUUUCCCUGUUUAUAAAAUCAAAUGAGUUUUCAUGCUCCUAUCUCCGCUCAAUGCAAGAAGCCUAGGAGCCCCAAAUAAGAUGAUUUCCUUGGGGCAUUUUCUGCCCCAGGUGGAACAAAAAUAAGCGGCACAUUUCUCAAACAAAACUCAUAUCACCAAACAAAAUAUCCAGCGCAAUUCUGCAAGCCCAAGGGGCCCAAAUAGCACAUUUGCAUUUUGCGUCUCCCUUUCAAUCAACAGGAAGAAGCCUACGAAUCCUCACAAAACUGGCUGCUUCUAAAGAUUUCAGACAGCACCGGGUAUCUAUCAGUGCUGAAGUUCCAUGUACAGCUUUUCCCAGCAGAAAUAGCUGGUAGGAGCAAAACUAAUGGAAAGGCAGAAGACUAAGAAACAGAAAACAAACCAAAACUCAGUAGAGAUGCUGAGGCUGCAGGAAAGAUGGAGAAGGGAAUAAAAGAGAUACUGAUGAAUAAAAAUAAAAAAUAAGAGACAUGCAGCGUAACGAUGGAGAAAGCCCAGCGAACCCCUUCUAGGUGCAAAGCGUGAGGAAAGCCAAUGUCACCAAACCAGGGCCCUAGAGUUUUGUUUGGAGGUGGGAGCAGCCCCAGAGUGCAGCACAGGGCUCACUCAGCCCAUCAGCUCUGCUCAGCUCAUGGGGUGCAGCCACGGCUAUGGUAUGAGCAGGGAAAUGAAGUGCAAGGGUUGAGAAAGCAUUACGAAGAGGAAUGGAAAAAAAAAAAAAAAAGGAAGAGGAAGGGUGCAAUAUCAGUGAAGCUCUUCAAAACGUAAUCCUGCAGCAUCCCAUCUGGUUAGAUGAGCCACCUCUGACAUUACGAGUCCACUUGUAAAGAUUCUGUGAGGGGCUGAGAGGGUGACGAGCAGCAGAGCUGCUGGGGGUUUUGUACCAAAAUGAUUCCCCAACACAAAAUCCCCUCUCCUGUGAGAUAAAGGAAUAAUAAAAUCUGUUUUCUACCAAUAAAUAAAUAAAUAAAUGAAAUAAAAAAAAAUUGGA